rnacentral:rRNA from 1 species
UACAGAGGGGGCAAGCGUUGUUCGGAAUUACUGGGCGUAAAGGGCGCGUAGGCGGUUUUCUAAGUCGAACGUGAAAUCCCCGGGCUCAACCCGGGAACUGCGUCCGAUACUGGAAGGCUUGAAUCCGGGAGAGGGAUGCGGAAUUCCAGGUGUAGCGGUGAAAUGCGUAGAUAUCUGGAGGAACACCGGUGGCGAAGGCGGCAUCCUGGACCGGUAUUGACGCUGAGGCGCGAAAGCCAGGGGAGCAAACGGG